CCUACGGGAGGCAGCAGUGAGGAAUAUUGGUCAAUGGGCGAGAGCCUGAACCAGCCAUCCCGCGUGCAGGAAGAAGGCCCUAUGGGUUGUAAACUGCUUUUGCGCAUGAAGAAUGUUACCGACGUGUCGGUAAGUGACGGUAAUGCGUGAAUAAGCAUCGGCUAACUCCGUGCCAGCAGCCGCGGUAAU
rnacentral:rRNA from 1 species